AAAGCAUGGGAAGCAAACAGGAUUAGAUACCCUGGUAGUCCACGCCGUAAACGAUGUCUACUUGGAGGUUGUGGCCUUGAGCCGUGGCUUUCGGAGCUAACGCAUUAAGUAGGCCGCCUGGGGAGUACGGUCGCAAGAUUAAAACUCAAAUGAAUUGNCGGGGGCCCGCACAAGCGGUGGAGCAUGUGGUUUAAUUCGAUGCAACGCGAAGAACCUUACCUACUCUUGACAUCCAGAGAAGCUUGAAGAGAUUCGAGUGUGCCUUCGGGAACUCUGAGACAGGUGCUGCAUGGCUGUCGUCAGCUCGUGUUGUGAAAUGUUGGGUUAAGUCCCGCAACGAGCGCAACCCUUAUCCUUGUUUGCCAGCACUUCGGGUGGGAACUCCAGGGAGACUGCCGGUGAUAAACCGGAGGAAGGUGGGGACGACGUCAAGUCAUCAUGGCCCUUACGAGUAGGGCUACACACGUGCUACAAUGGUAUAUACAGAGGGCAGCAAGACCGCGAGGUGGAGCGAAUCCCAGAAAGUAUGUCGUAGUCCGGAUCGGAGUCUGCAACUCGACUCCGUGAAGUCGGAAUCGCUAGUAAUCGUGGAUCAGAAUGCCACGGUGAAUACGUUCCCGGGCCUUGUACACACCGCCCGUCACACCAUGGGAGUGGGCUGCACCAGAAGUAGAUAGCUUAACCUUCGGGAGGGCGUUUACCACGGUGUGGUUCAUGACUGGGGUGAAGUCGUAACAAGGUAGCCG
rnacentral:rRNA from 1 species